GACGUAGGGCGCGAGCGUUGUCCGGAUUUAUUGGGCGUAAAGAGCUCGUAGGCGGCUCGUUGCGUCGGCUGUGAAAACCCGCAGCUCAACUGUGGGCUUGCAGCCGAUACGGGCGGGCUGGGAUUCGGUAGGGGAGACUGGAAUUCCUGGUGUAGCGGUGGAAUGCGCAGAUAUCAGGAGGAACACCGGUGGCGAAGGCGGGUCUCUGGGCAGUAACUGACGCUGGAGGAGCGAAAGCGUGGGGAGCGAACAGG
rnacentral:rRNA from 1 species